GUGGGGAAUCUUGCGCAAUGGGCGAAAGCCUGACGCAGCCAUGCCGCGUGAAUGAUGAAGGUCUUAGGAUUGUAAAAUUCUUUCACCGGGGACGAUAAUGACGGUACCCGGAGAAGAAGCUCCGGCUAACUUCGUGCCAGCAGCCGCGGUAAUACGAAGGGGGCUAGCGUUGCCCGGAAUUACUGGGCGUAAAGGGCGCGUAGGCGGACAGCUUAGUCAGAGGUGAAAGCCCAGGGCUCAACCUUGGAAUUGCCUUUGAUACUGGCUGUCUUGAGUUUGGGAGAGGUGCGUGGAACUCCGAGUGUAGAGGUGAAAUUCGUAGAUAUUCGGAAGAACACCAGUGGCGAAGGCGACUCACUGGCCCAAUACUGACGCUGAGGCGCGAAAGCGUGGGGAGCAAACAGGAUUAGAAACCCGAGUAGUCC
rnacentral:rRNA from 1 species